CCCUUAGAUGUCCUGGGCCGCACGCGCGCUACACUGGUGCAUGCAACGAGUUUAUAACCUUGGCCUGAAAGGUCUGGGUAAUCUUUUGAACGUGCAUCGUGAUAGGGAUAGAUUAUUGCAAUUGUUAAUCUUGAACGAGGAAUUCCUAGUAAACGCGAGUCAUCAGCUCGCAUUGAUUACGUCCCUGCCCUUUGUACACACCGCCCGUCGCACCUACCGAUUGAAUGGUUCGGUGAAGAUCUCGGACUUCGAUAUUUAUUCUUUAUUGAGUUUAUAUUGUGGGAAGUUAUCUAAACCUCAUCAUUUAGAGGAAGGUGAAGUCGUAACA
rnacentral:rRNA from 1 species